UUGCACAAGUGAGAAGUCUCAGGGAGGAGAGACUGGUGUCGAGUUCAGGGCCUCACCUGUUCUUGACAGUCCUGUCUCUGCUCACCAUGAGCCGCAUCUCCAAGCAGUCCAACAAUGCUCCACCACUAUACAAUGCACUGGUGAUUUUGGGGAUGUCGAAGAUGGAGGACUGGAUGGUUUUCCUGCAUCUUCCAGAGAAGGAGACUCCCACACUGGCCAGAACAGCAGAGUGGAAGAGACUGUCUUGUCCUCUACUGCCACAGCACAGAUCAUAAACAACCAAGAGGACUGCAAAGAAAGCGAGGCUGAUGUCCAAGACAACAUCCAACCUGCGUCUUAAAGUCAAGACAAGACUCCCGAGAAAGAUUGCCCUUGAAGAGCUAACGCACCUGCCAUCAGGGCUUGCAAAAUGAUUCACAUUUCUUUAACUUUUCCACAUAUAGUCACAUUACAACCAAAAAUACAAAUACAUUUUAUUGGAGUCUUAUGUGAAAGACAAAGUGGUAUACAACUGUGAUGUAGCAAGAAACUAA